rnacentral:rRNA from 1 species
GGUUAAGCGACUAAGCGUACACGGUGGAUGCCCUGGCAGUCAGAGGCGAUGAAGGACGUGCUAAUCUGCGAUAAGCGUCGGUAAGGUGAUAUGAACCGUUAUAACCGGCGAUUUCCGAAUGGGGAAACCCAGUGUGAUUCGUCACACUAUCAUUAACUGAAUCCAUAGGUUAAUGAGGCGAACCGGGGGAACUGAAACAUCUAAGUACCCCGAGGAAAAGAAAUCAACCGAGAUUCCCCCAGUAGCGGCGAGCGAACGGGGAGGAGCCCAGAGCCUGAAUCAGUGUGUGUGUUAGUGGAAGCGUCUGGAAAGGCGCGCGAUACAGGGUGACAGCCCCGUACACAAAAAUGCACAUGCUGUGAGCUCGAUGAGUAGGGCGGGACACGUGGUAUCCUGUCUGAAUAUGGGGGGACCAUCCUCCAAGGCUAAAUACUCCUGACUGACCGAUAGUGAACCAGUACCGUGAGGGAAAGGCGAAAAGAACCCCGGCGAGGGGAGUGAAAAAGAACCUGAAACCGUGUACGUACAAGCAGUGGGAGCACGCUUAGGCGUGUGACUGCGUACCUUUUGUAUAAUGGGUCAGCGACUUAUAUUCUGUAGCAAGGUUAACCGAAUAGGGGAGCCGAAGGGAAACCGAGUCUUAACUGGGCGUUAAGUUGCAGGGUAUAGACCCGAAACCCGGUGAUCUAGCCAUGGGCAGGUUGAAGGUUGGGUAACACUAACUGGAGGACCGAACCGACUAAUGUUGAAAAAUUAGCGGAUGACUUGUGGCUGGGGGUGAAAGGCCAAUCAAACCGGGAGAUAGCUGGUUCUCCCCGAAAGCUAUUUAGGUAGCGCCUCGUGAACUCAUCUCCGGGGGUAGAGCACUGUUUCGGCAAGGGGGUCAUCCCGACUUACCAACCCGAUGCAAACUGCGAAUACCGGAGAAUGUUAUCACGGGAGACACACGGCGGGUGCUAACGUCCGUCGUGAAGAGGGAAACAACCCAGACCGCCAGCUAAGGUCCCAAAGUCAUGGUUAAGUGGGAAACGAUGUGGGAAGGCCCAGACAGCCAGGAUGUUGGCUUAGAAGCAGCCAUCAUUUAAAGAAAGCGUAAUAGCUCACUGGUCGAGUCGGCCUGCGCGGAAGAUGUAACGGGGCUAAACCAUGCACCGAAGCUGCGGCAGCGACGCUUAUGCGUUGUUGGGUAGGGGAGCGUUCUGUAAGCCUGUGAAGGUGUGCUGUGAGGCAUGCUGGAGGUAUCAGAAGUGCGAAUGCUGACAUAAGUAACGAUAAAGCGGGUGAAAAGCCCGCUCGCCGGAAGACCAAGGGUUCCUGUCCAACGUUAAUCGGGGCAGGGUGAGUCGACCCCUAAGGCGAGGCCGAAAGGCGUAGUCGAUGGGAAACAGGUUAAUAUUCCUGUACUUGGUGUUACUGCGAAGGGGGGACGGAGAAGGCUAUGUUGGCCGGGCGACGGUUGUCCCGGUUUAAGCGUGUAGGCUGGUUUUCCAGGCAAAUCCGGAAAAUCAAGGCUGAGGCGUGAUGACGAGGCACUACGGUGCUGAAGCAACAAAUGCCCUGCUUCCAGGAAAAGCCUCUAAGCAUCAGGUAACAUCAAAUCGUACCCCAAACCGACACAGGUGGUCAGGUAGAGAAUACCAAGGCGCUUGAGAGAACUCGGGUGAAGGAACUAGGCAAAAUGGUGCCGUAACUUCGGGAGAAGGCACGCUGAUAUGUAGGUGAAGUCCCUCGCGGAUGGAGCUGAAAUCAGUCGAAGAUACCAGCUGGCUGCAACUGUUUAUUAAAAACACAGCACUGUGCAAACACGAAAGUGGACGUAUACGGUGUGACGCCUGCCCGGUGCCGGAAGGUUAAUUGAUGGGGUCAGCGCAAGCGAAGCUCUUGAUCGAAGCCCCGGUAAACGGCGUACCGUAACUAUAACGGUCCUAAGGUAGCGAAAUUCCUUGUCGGGUAAGUUCCGACCUGCACGAAUGGCGUAAUGAUGGCCAGGCUGUCUCCACCCGAGACUCAGUGAAAUUGAACUCGCUGUGAAGAUGCAGUGUACCCGCGGCAAGACGGAAAGACCCCGUGAACCUUUACUAUAGCUUGACACUGAACAUUGAGCCUUGAUGUGUAGGAUAGGUGGGAGGCUUAGAAGUGUGGACGCCAGUCUGCAUGGAGCCGACCUUGAAAUACCACCCUUUAAUGUUUGAUGUUCUAACGUUGACCCGUAAUCCGGGUUGCGGACAGUGUCUGGUGGGUAGUUUGACUGGGGCGGUCUCCUCCUAAAGAGUAACGGAGGAGCACGAAGGUUGGCUAAUCCUGGUCGGACAUCAGGAGGUUAGUGCAAUGGCAUAAGCCAGCUUGACUGCGAGCGUGACGGCGCGAGCAGGUGCGAAAGCAGGUCAUAGUGAUCCGGUGGUUCUGAAUGGAAGGGCCAUCGCUCAACGGAUAAAAGGUACUCCGGGGAUAACAGGCUGAUACCGCCCAAGAGUUCAUAUCGACGGCGGUGUUUGGCACCUCGAUGUCGGCUCAUCACAUCCUGGGGCUGAAGUAGGUCCCAAGGGUAUGGCUGUUCGCCAUUUAAAGUGGUACGCGAGCUGGGUUUAGAACGUCGUGAGACAGUUCGGUCCCUAUCUGCCGUGGGCGCUGGAGAACUGAGGGGGGCUGCUCCUAGUACGAGAGGACCGGAGUGGACGCAUCACUGGUGUUCGGGUUGUCAUGCCAAUGGCACUGCCCGGUAGCUAAAUGCGGAAGAGAUAAGUGCUGAAAGCAUCUAAGCACGAAACUUGCCCCGAGAUGAGUUCUCCCUGACUCCUUGAGAGUCCUGAAGGAACGUUGAAGACGACGACGUUGAUAGGCCGGGUGUGUAAGCGCAGCGAUGCGUUGAGCUAACCGGUACUAAUGAACCGUGAGGCUUAACCUU